ACCCGGCUGGCUCAGUCCAUAGAGCAUGUGACUCUUGAUCUCGGGGUCAUGAGUUCAAGCCCCAUUUUGGGUA
rnacentral:tRNA from 1 species